rnacentral:rRNA from 1 species
GUGAACCUGCGGAGGGAUCAUUACACAAUAAAAUACGAAGGCCGUUCGCGGCUGGACUAUUUAUUACCCUUGUCUUUUGCGCACUUGUUGUUUCCUGGGCGGGUUCGCUCGCCACCAGGACCACAAUAUAAACCUUUUUUAUGCAGUUGCAAUCAGCGUCAGUAUAACAAAUGUAAAUCAUUUACAACUUUCAACAACGGAUCUCUUGGUUCUGGCAUCGAUGAAGAACGCAGCGAAAUGCGAUACGUAGUGUGAAUUGCAGAAUUCAGUGAAUCAUCGAAUCUUUGAACGCACAUUGCGCCCUUUGGUAUUCCAAAGGGCAUGCCUGUUCGAGCGUCAUUUGUACCCUCAAGCUUUGCUUGGUGUUGGGCGUUUUUGUCUUUGGCCCGCCAAAGACUCGCCUUAAAAUGAUUGGCAGCCGGCCUACUGGUUUCGCAGCGCAGCACAUUUUUGCGCUUGCAAUCAGCAAAAGAGGACGGCAAUCCAUCAAGACUCCUUCUCACGUUUGACCUCGGAUCAGGUAGGGAUACCCGCUGAACUUAAGCAUAUCAAUAAGCGGAGGAA